CAGGUGUAUGUCAAAAUGCUACAUUUUUAGGAAUACUGUGAGUGCACAGUCUCCUAUGGUCACAGAAGUUUGUUUCUGUUCCCUUACAUCUUGUCUGAAUACUACUGUGUGAGCUCCUUGAAAGGAAGGGAUAUUAUUUUAAAGGAGGGUUUUUUGCAGAAUUCUGAUGUCCUCCCCUACCAAGUUCCAAAGUCUGACACUCUUGGAAGAAAGCUUAGACAACUCUUCCGAGCUUGCUGGCAGAUGCUGGGAGUUUCAGAGUAUGGAGGGAAGAAUAGCCUGAGGAAAGUAAUCUUUGCAGAAAGAAGGUCAUUUUCUAAGACUAUUUCACCAAAGGAUGCCUGA
rnacentral:lncRNA from 1 species